GGCCCAAUGGUCUAGACGUAUGAUACACGCUUCGGGGUUUCCCGCAUUACUGAGUAAUGUGCAUUGUGUGUGGUCCCGGGUUCAAUUCCCGGUUGGGCCC